rnacentral:rRNA from 1 species
UGGGGAAUAUUGGACAAUGGGCGAAAGCCUGAUCCAGCCAUGCCGCGUGUGUGAAGAAGGUCUUCGGAUUGUAAAGCACUUUAAGUUGGGAGGAAGGGCAGUAAGCGAAUACCUUGCUGUUUUGACGUUACCGACAGAAUAAGCACCGGCUAACUCUGUGCCAGCAGCCGCGGUAAUACAGAGGGUGCAAGCGUUAAUCGGAAUUACUGGGCGUAAAGCGCGCGUGGGUGGUUCGUUAAGUUGAAUGUGAAAGCCCCGGGCUCAACCUGGGAACUGCAUCCAAAACUGGCGAGCUAGAGUAGGGCAGAGGGUGGUGGAAUUUCCUGUGUAGCGGUGAAAUGCGUAGAUAUAGGAAGGAACACAAGUGGCGAAGGCGACCACCUGGGCGCAUACUGACACUGAGGUGCGAAAGCGUGGGGAGCAAACAGG